rnacentral:rRNA from 1 species
GAUGAACGCUGGCGGCGUGCCUAAUACAUGCAAGUCGAGCGAAUGGAUUAAGAGCUUGCUCUUAUGAAGUUGGCGGCGGACGGGUGAGUAACACGUGGGUAACCUGCCCAUAAGACUGGGAUAACUCCGGGAAACCGGGGCUAAUACCGGAUAACAUUUUGAACCGCAUGGUUCGAAAUUGAAAGGCGGCUUCGGCUGUCACUUAUGUAUGGACCCGCGUCGCAUUAGCUAGUUGGUGAGGCAACGGCUCACCAAGGCAACGAUGCGUAGCCGACCUGAGAGGGUGCUCAGCGCCACUUGGACUGAGACACGGCCCAGAGUCCUACGGGAGGCAGCAGUAGGGAAUCUUCCGCAAUGGACGAAAGUCUGACGGGGCAACGCCGCGUGAGUGAUGAAGGCUUUCGGGUCGUAAAACUCUGUUGUUAGGGAAGAACAAGUGCUAGUUGAAUGAGCUGGCACCUUGACGGUACCUAACCAGAAAGCCACGGCUAACUACGUGCCAGCCGCCGCCGUAA